ACUCCUACGGGAGGCAGCAGUGGGGAAUAUUGCACAAUGGGCGCAAGCCUGAUGCAGCCAUGCCGCGUGUAUGAAGAAGGCCUUCGGGUUGUAAAGUACUUUCAGCAGUGAGGAAGGUAGUGUAGUUAAUAGCUGCAUUAUUUGACGUUAACAACAGAAGAAGCACCGGCUAACUCCGUGCCAGCAGCCGCGGUAAUACGGAGGGUGCGAGCGUUAAUCGGAAUUACUGGGCGUAAAGCGCACGCAGGCGGCUUGUUAAGCUAGAGGUGAAAGCCCCNCGCUCAACGUGGGAACUGCCUUUUAGAACUGGCAGGCUAGAUCUUUGGAGAGGGGAGUGGAAUUCUAGGUGUAGCGGUGAAAUGCGUAGAUAUCUGGAGGAACAUCAGUGGCGAAGGCGGCUCCCUGGCCAAAGACUGACGCUCAUGUGCGAAAGUGUGGGUAGCGAA
rnacentral:rRNA from 1 species